rnacentral:rRNA from 1 species
GGCUCAGAUUGAACGCUGGCGGCAGGCCUAACACAUGCAAGUCGAGCGGUAGAGAGAAGCUUGCUUCUCUUGGAGAGCGGCGGACGGGUGAGUAAUGCCUAGGAGUCUGCCUGGUAGUGGGGGAUAACGUUCGGAAACGGGCGCUAAUACCGCAUACGUCCUACGGGAGAAAGCAGGGGACCUUCGGGCCUUGCGCUAUCAGAUGAGCCUAGGUCGGAUUAGCUAGUUGGUGAGGUAAUGGCUCACCAAGGCGACGAUCCGUGACUGGUCUGAGAGGAUGAUCAGUCACACUGGAACUGAGACACGGUCCAGACUCCUACGGGAGGCAGCAGUGGGGAAUAUUGGACAAUGGGCGAAAGCCUGAUCCAGCCAUGCCGCGUGUGUGAAGAAGGUCUUCGGAUUGUAAAGCACUUUAAGUUGGGAGGAAGGGCAGUUACCUAAUACGUGAUUGUUUUGACGUUACCGACAGAAUAAGCACCGGCUAACUCUGUG